UAAAUGAGAGACACAGGUACCAGAACUAAAUGAGAGACACAGGUGCCAGGAUUUAAUGAGAGACACAGGUACCAGGUCUAAAUGAGAGACACAGGUACCAGGACUUAAUGAGAGACACAGGUACCAGGUCUUAAUGAGAGACAUACGUACCAGGACUUAAUGAGAGACACAGGUGCCAGGUCUUAAUGAGAGACACAGGUACCAGGACUAAAUGAGAGACACGGGUGCCAGGUCUAAAUGAGAGACAUACGUACCAGGACUUAAUGAAAGACACAGGUGCCAGGACUUAAUGAGAGACACAGGUACCAGGACUAAAUGAGAGACACAGGUACCAGGUCUUAAUGAGAGACACAGGUGCCAGGACUUAAUGAGAGACACAGGUGCCAGGACUUAAUGAGAGACACAUGAUGUACGUUAUAGCAUAGAUACCAGGAGGUACGUUACAGCAUA